CCGUGCUCCCCGGAGGCUGGGCUGGGGUGUGCGGAGGGCCCCUCGCAGCAUCCGGACGGAGGGCAAGGGCGCAGGGACGGCGCACGCACCUGCCUCGGUGCAGAGCUGUGCGCUGGGACCCGUGCGCCCUGGGACCAGGCCCCCAUCUGCGUUCUGCCUGGGUCUCCCCACCUUGACCCCUGCCGGAGAACCCAGUCUUGGGGGAAAUGAGAGGGCAAGGGAACUGGCUUCCGAACUCUCGCAUCCUUCGACCAGUGGAUCAGGGCUGCUCAGUGGUGGGUUUGGGAGUGUAACCUCCAGACCCUUCCAGGUGUCAACCUGUGUGGGCAAAGCUGCUCCAGUAACCUGAGUCUCCAGUGCAUUGCAGACCAAGACACAGUCCCACUGAGAAGGAGGAAUAUGGAGCUCCUGCCCCCUGUGACUCAUCAUGCAGCUCUUGAAGAAAAGUACAGCUAUUUGUGGAACUAUACAGGAAGUCUGCAUGGAUGAAAGAAAGGACACACACCAACCUGAAGACGACGGUCACCGCUAAGGAGCGACGCAUGGAAAACAGGAAUACACACACAGUCUCAGUGACGUUUCUAUUUCUUUAGGCCAAAUGCUCACAUCUGUUAGGUCUUAUUGGUGGACACAUGGGAAUACUUUACAUUACCUGCUAUUCUCUCUGUGUUUGAAAAUUUUCAUUCUUAGCUUUUAAAUGUUAAGAAAAGAAAAACUUGAAUAGAAAGUUCUGAGUGAA